UACAUGGGGUGCAAACGUUGCUCGGAAUCAUUGGGCGUAAAGCGCGCGUAGGCGGUUACUUAUGUCGGAUGUGAAAGCCCUCGGCUUAACUGAGGAAGUGCAUUCGAAACUGGGUAGCUAGAGUACUAAAGAGGGUCGCGGAAUUCCCGGUGUAGAGGUGAAAUUCGUAGAUAUCGGGAGGAACACCGGUGGCGAAGGCGGCGUACUGGGUCUUAUCUGACGCUGAGGCACGAAAGCGUGGGGAUCGAACAGG
rnacentral:rRNA from 1 species